GACAGAGGGGGCAAGCGUUGCUCGGAAUCACUGGGCGUAAAGGGCGCGUAGGCGGGAUGGCAAGUCAGUCGUGAAAUCUCUCGGCUCAACCGAGAAACGUCGGCUGAUACUGCCGUUCUUGAGGGAUGCAGAGGAGACUGGAAUUCCCGGUGUAGCGGUGAAAUGUGUAGAGAUCCGGAGGAACACCAGUGGCGAAGGCGACACGCUGGGCCGUACCUGACACUGAUGCGCGACAGCAUGGGGAGCAAACAGG
rnacentral:rRNA from 1 species